UUGGGUUUAAAGGGAGCGUAGGCUGGAGAUUAAGUGUGUUGUGAAAUGUAGACGCUCAACGUCUGAAUUGCAGCGCAUACUGGUUUCCUUGAGUACGCACAACGUUGGCGGAAUUCGUCGUGUAGCGGUGAAAUGCUUAGAUAUGACGAAGAACUCCGAUUGCGAAGGCAGCUGACGGGAGCGCAACUGACGCUUAAGCUCGAAGGUGCGGGUAUCAAACAGGAUUAGAUACCCUGGUAGUCCGCACAGUAAACGAUGGAUGCCCGCUGUUGGUACCUGGUAUCAGCGGCUAAGCGAAAGCAUUAAGCAUCCCACCUGGGGAGUACGCCGGCAACGGUGAAACUCAAAGGAAUUGACGGGGGCCCGCACAAGCGGAGGAACAUGUGGUUUAAUUCGAUGAUACGCGAGGAACCUUACCCGGGCUUGAAUUGCAGAGGAAGGAUUUAGAGAUAAUGACGCCCUUCGGGGUCUCUGUGAAGGUGCUGCAUGGUUGUCGUCAGCUCGUGUCGUGAG
rnacentral:rRNA from 1 species